rnacentral:rRNA from 1 species
GCAUAGACAGCUAGGAGGUUGGCUUAGAAGCAGCCACCCUUUAAAGAAAGCGUAAUAGCUCACUAGUCGAGUCGGCCUGCGCGGAAGAUGUACCGGGGCUUAAGCCAUAUACCGAAGCUAUGGAUGCACUUAGUGCAUGGUAGAGGAGCGUUGUGUAAGUCUGCGAAGGUGUGCUGAGAGGCAUGCUGGAGAUAUCACAAGUGCGAAUGCUGACAUGAGUAACGAUAAAGGGGGUGAGAGGCCCCCUCGCCGAAAAUCCAAGGUUUCCUGCUCAACGCUAAUCGGAGCAGGGUGAGUCGGCCCCUAAGGCGAGGCAGAAAUGCGUAGUCGAUGGGAAACGGGUUAAUAUUCCCGUACUUGUUAUUACUGCGAUGGGAUGACGGAGAAGGUUAGGUCAGCCAACUGUUGGAUAUGUUGGUUUAACUGUGUAGGCGUGCUGCUUAGGUAAAUCCGGGCGGCUUAGCUGAGACAGGAUGACGAGCUCCAUUUGGAGCGAAGUGAUUGAUACCCGGCUUCCAGGAAAAGUCUCUAAGCUUCAGGUAAUAACAAACCGUACCCCAAACCGACACAGGUGGAUAGGAUGAGAAUUCCAAGGCGCUUGAGAGAACUCUGGUGAAGGAACUAGGCAAAAUAGCACCGUAACUUCGGGAGAAGGUGUGCCCUUGAGGUGAAGCGACUUGCUCGUGGAGCUGGAGAGGGUUGCAGUGACCAGGUGGCUGCGACUGUUUAUUAAAAACACAGCACUCUGCAAA